AACAGAUUUACUUCGGUAAUGACGUUAGGAAAGCGAGCGGCGGAUGGGUGAGUAACACGUGGGGAACCUGCCCCAUAGUCUGGGAUACCACUUGGAAACAGGUGCUAAUACCGGAUAAGAAAGCAGAUCGCAUGAUCAGCUUUUAAAAGGCGGCGUAAGCUGUCGCUAUGGGAUGGCCCCGCGGUGCAUUAGCUAGUUGGUAAAGUAAAGGCUUACCAAGGCGAUGAUGCAUAGCCGAGUUGAGAGACUGAUCGGCCACAUUGGGACUGAGACACGGCCCAAACUCCUACGGGAGGCAGCAGUAGGGAAUCUUCCACAAUGGACGCAAGUCUGAUGGAGCAACGCCGCGUGAGUGAAGAAGGUUUUCGGAUCGUAAAGCUCUGUUGUUGGUGAA
rnacentral:rRNA from 1 species